rnacentral:rRNA from 1 species
GGAGGGUGCAAGCGUUAAUCGGAAUUACUGGGCGUAAAGCGCGCGUAGGCGGUUUAGUAAGUCGGAUGUGAAAGCCCUGGGCUCAACCUGGGAAUUGCAUUCGAUACUGCUUGACUAGAGUAUGGUAGAGGGAAGUGGAAUUUCCGGUGUAGCGGUGAAAUGCGUAGAUAUCGGAAGGAACACCAGUGGCGAAGGCGACCUUCUGGGCCAAUACUGACGCUGAGGUGCGAAAGCGUGGGGAGCAAACAGGGAUUAGAUACCCUGGUAGUCCACGCCGUAAACGAUGAGAACUAGAUGUUGGGAGGGUUACCUCUCGGUGUCGCAGCUAACGCGUUAAGUUCUCCGCCUGGGGAGUACGCCGGCAACGGUA